AUUGAACGCUGGCGGCAGGCCUAACACAUGCAAGUCGAGCGGAUGAAGGGAGCUUGCUCCUGGAUUCAGCGGCGGACGGGUGAGUAAUGCCUAGGAAUCUGCCUGGUAGUGGGGGAUAACGUCCGGAAACGGGCGCUAAUACCGCAUACGUCCUGAGGGAGAAAGUGGGGGAUCUUCGGACCUCACGCUAUCAGAUGAGCCUAGGUCGGAUUAGCUAGUUGGUGGGGUAAAGGCCUACCAAGGCGACGAUCCGUAACUGGUCUGAGAGGAUGAUCAGUCACACUGGAACUGAGACACGGUCCAGACUCCUACGGGAGGCAGCAGUGGGGAAUAUUGGACAAUGGGCGAAAGCCUGAUCCAGCCAUGCCGCGUGUGUGAAGAAGGUCUUCGGAUUGUAAAGCACUUUAAGUUGGGAGGAAGGGCAGUAAGUUAAUACCUUGCUGUUUUGACGUUACCACAGAAUAAGCACCGCUAAUU
rnacentral:rRNA from 1 species